rnacentral:lncRNA from 1 species
UUUUCAAUCACCUUCCAUCCAGCCAAGCAACCGGAGCUCCCCCGGGUGUGGGAAGUUCCCAGAGGUGCCACGAGCCGCUCAGCUCCUGCAUCGCCCCGCGUUCACCGAGCUCCCGUGCCUCCCACCCCCAGGUUUCCCCCGUUGCUUCAUGAACAACCCCUACACCGAGAAGCUCUUCUAUUUCUCAGCAUCCCACUUCGCCCAUUUCCACGGCGGAGCUCCCAGCUCUCGCCCUUCGGGCGCUAACGCUUCCGACUACUGAGCUGCCGCGUUAAGAAAACACGCCGCUCCGUUACGACACGGAAUCAUCUCCUGCAAACGAACGAUCCGCGGCUUUCAAGCUUCCACUUCCACAGGCCUCGUUAGCAGCAGCAGAAAACGAAACAGCUCCUCAACCCCCCCCCCCCCCCCCCCCCCCGAGUCCCCUUUACCACGGAACGCCUUUCCUCGCCGAAGUCCCGCAGCGCUCGUGCCCCGCUGCCUCGCAGGGAAGGCACGCAGUUUUGGUUUCUCUUUUGACACCUCAGCUGACAGCCAACAAACGCCAGCAGCAAACAUGGAAGGAAGCCUUCCUUCCACAGAGGACGGAAAAACACCAUCGGCUGAGCCCGGGACAUCUCCCUCACGAGGAGCGGAGCAAGGAAGCGCUCCCACCUCCAGCAUCCAUCCGUCCGUCCGUCCGUCCGUCUGUCUGUCCCCCAUCCAUCCCAGCACGCCGAGCUGGGGACGGCUUCGCACAUCCCCUCCGUGGAACGGGCACCGGCAGCAGCAACCCGGAGCUCCCCACCGCCAGUGUCAAAGCUCGAACGCGACGGGAACCAAAGCGCGCGUCUUUCUCGAGAUAGCCCUCCCCGUGCUUCACUUCUCUCCGGCAGUCUCCAAUGGCUGAACUGCGAACUCAGAAAUCCAGCCCCAUCCCUCCCACAACACGACCGCGGCUCCGCGCUCCCAUCUGCCGCCUUCUCCCCGGGUUUGCUGGACGACCGAGGCUCCGGCACCUCCCCUCCCACCCUUCCCACCCCGUUCUGCCCCAGGCUCCCACUCAUCCCGCACAGCACCUCACCCCGGGGACCCCACGUUUGCAGGGCAACCCACAAAAGCCGCCCGCCCGAGCAACGCCUGCGCAGCAAUUGCACGAGCAGCGACGCCUUCGUGACCCCAAACUAUUUCCUCCUCACCCAACCCUCCGUCACCUCCAGCGUUGACCGGGAUCACCCCCACCAGCGUUCCCACCAGCCGGCUCCACGAUUUCACCUCGGGUUGCUAUGGAAGUCGCUACACCACCAGCCCAGGGAUUAUUUCAUUACUUGUUUUGACCACGGGAGCGUUUGGGCAGAGCGCUGCCUUGAAGCGCUGAGCCAUGCCCAAAGGGGAUUCAUUUGCUGCUGGGAAGGAGAUCUGUGGGGAAGGAGAACGGGCUCCUGGGAGAUCUGCAGAGAAGGACCUGGGGGUCCUGGUGGCCGAUGGUGACCAUGAGCCAGCAGUGUGCCAAGAAGUGCCCUAAACUGGCACAGUAAUUUCACCCAGUUACAAACGUUUGAAGCUGCUUUUAGAUUCUAACACCUGCGAACAAGAAACAGUUUGCUGUUGACACAGUUUUGUACCCACCUGGUCUCACCACUGUGCGUUUCAAAAGUCGUUGCCGAACGAAUGGGAAGAAGGAGCAAGGCAUGUUGGUACCAGCUCUGCUUGCUAUUGCUAACUGAAGCAAAGGGAUGCGGCCCCUAUUCCAGCCAGUGACCUCAGCUCUCCCUGCUCUGGAGAGAGAUUCAAGGCUGGAUCCAUCUGCCACCACACCGUGUCCAAGAGUCUCACGGAGCAGCAGCAGCUCAGCCACCAGCCCUCUGAGAGCACCGCUCACUGUCACCUCAUCACCUGCCCUGCUGCACAAGUGGCCCCAGAGCCACGGCUGCACCGUGUCCAGUCCCUGCCUUCCUCGGGCUCACGCCCCACGUAGCAGUGUGAGGAGCCACACUUUCAUCCCACGUGCAAACCUUCAGGCCUGGUGAACACCGCCUCCCUUCUCCUGUAAGCUCUGAGCGUGUCUUAUUUCACAUCUGGGCAAAAAAAUCAGCCGUGCCACUGUUAGCAUUCACCUGCAAACUCGAAAAGCUGCAACUGCUGGACGCAGGUGACUGAUUUGCACAUCAAGCCGUCGGGACACAUUCAGCUGUGCUUCUGUGGCGCGACUUGGCCGCCCUACUGGAUGGCCAGGAUCUGUUUGUUUCGUUGUUUGAAGCACCGAGCCUCCGUUCUAAUAGAAGUGCUGGAUCUGAGGUUUAAUGAAAAAAAAACAAACGCCACGAACACAGCCGUGUUCUCAGAAGCCCAGAGCUCGUGGCAAUGAGGACUUCGUCAGCGUGUGGAUUCUGGUGCCCUCAGAGCUCGUGUCAGGAUCCUUGAGCUCCAGGUCGGACACGAAUUCUGGGCAUCACUUCUGUCCUACCAGAGCUCCACGUUCUUCCCCCGAAGCAUGAUUUGGGUGUUAGGUUUUCCGCGCACUGCCAAUGAGAUCUGGCUGCCUUCUGGGGCAAGUUACAAGGGCCCUGUGCAAAUAGCAGGGCUCAGAAUAUAAACAGCAAUCAGCAGCGAGACCGGUGCACCAACAUUUCUUGGCUGACAGCACGUUGCACGUUCCUCUGGUCUGCGGGGUAUUUACGUUUCUGCUUUUGUCUGGGGAAUAUUACCCUGACUGGCAGUGCAAGAGAACAGGCAGACAAACCGAAGCAGGAUGCAAAAUAUCCUGCAAAAUCUGGUAGGCCGGCGCUCCCGAGAGCUCUGAUGCAGAAGAUAAUUAUAGAUGAAAGUGUGGCAACCGCCGUGGGGAGGCUUGCGAAACGUUCUAUUUACUCAGGUUGCUUAGGAGCCGUGCGAAAAACGACACGCUGGCCCUGUGCAGCGCAGCAUCUCUGCCAGGCCAGAGCUUCGGGGAGGAUCGGAGCCGCAGCGGCGUUCUCAAGUUCUGCGCAACCUUCCUUGCCCAAAUAUGGUCCAGCAGCAUCAAGGCGCUUCAAAGGCCAGAAACGACGGCCCUGUAAAUUCGCAGCAGCUUCACAGGGACUGAGAGCAGUGCAGCCCUCCGAGCCUGCACGGAGCCCGUUUUUGCUGGGGAAAAUAGGGCUCUGAAGCUUUGCAAAGGGCGGCGGAGCCAGACGCACGCACGUCGGCGUUGAAAGCCCUCCGUGUUUUUUUGUUUCGAGACGAGCGGAGGAAAUGAAUCGUAAAAGCUCUGUGUUUAGACAACGCGAAAAGCCAAAACACCCCGGGGGGGCACGUCCUCAGCUCGUGCAAAUGGGCAGCAGAUAUGAAAGCAAAGAUCAGACGCCAGGCCUUCCCUCGGCUGCCCCGCGUGCUAUGCACGACGCAGGGCUCUGCACGCGGCCAGGAGCUGUUUUCCAAGCAGCAGCACCGUGCAAUGCAGUGACGCCGUGGUUUAGGGUAAUGACGAGGUGGGAGCACCGCACGUGGUGCUAACCAGCUUCGUGCUACUGCCUUCUUUUUUUUUUUUUCCCUUGCAUUCUGAUUACCGUGGCGUGCUGCUGCUUCACACUUAAGCCCUAUAAUCUCUGCCCGCUUUGCAGUGCGCCGUGCUUAAAUGUAGCUACGGCCCAUUAUGAGGGCGCAGAGGUGCUACGCUCAUACAAAAAAAAUGAAUUUUAAUGCUGUUAGAAAUAUCGGUUACCAUUUAUUAUAGGCUCUCGGCAUACGGUAUCUCAACAACGUGCCCAUAGCAGCACGAGCUCUGUGCUUCAGACUGUGUUUCCUUCAGACUGUCGAGGGCUGUCUUGAUCAGGCCAUUUCCUUCCCGUGAUCCUAAGAAGCGUUGGUGCAUUCUCCACAGGAGUCCCCCGUGAAAGCCACGCCUGCUUAGAAAAUCCUAACACCCUUUUCUGCCUUGCUCAACACGGAGGACGAGCUAACAAAGCCAACAAGUCCAGAAAACCAACCUGACAGCUGAUCCUUGCCACAAAAGAGGCACGAUGAAAUUAUAUUUAAAAAAAAAAAUAAAAAAAAAGUCCAGAAAACCA